rnacentral:rRNA from 1 species
UACGUAGGGGGCUAGCGUUGUCCGGAAUCAUUGGGCGUAAAGCGUCCGUAGGUGGCCGUUCAAGUCUGCUGUCAAAGGCUGGGGCUUAACUCCAGACAGGCAGUGGAAACUGAACAGCUAGAGUGUGGUAGGGGUAGAGGGAAUUCCCGGUGUAGCGGUGAAAUGCGUAGAGAUCGGGAAGAACACCGGUGGCGAAAGCGCUCUGCUGGACCACAACUGACACUGAGGGACGAAAGCUAGGGGAGCGAAUGGG